AGAUUGAACGCUGGCGGCAUGCCUAACACAUGCAAGUCGAACGGGAGUAGCAAUACUCUAGUGGCGGACGGGUGAGGAAUACGUAGGAAUUUGCCCUUAAGUGGGGGAUAACCCGAGGAAACCCGGAUUAAUACCGCAUGACCUCGAAAGAGCAAAGUGGGGGAUCGCAAGACCUCACGCUUUUGGAGAAGCCUACGUCGGAUUAGCUAGUUGGUGAGGUAAUGGCUCACCAAGGCGACGAUCCGUAACUGGUCUGAGAGGAUGAUCAGUCACACCGGAACUGAGACACGGUCCGACUCCUACGGGAGCAGCAGUGGGGAAUACUUGGACAAUGGGCGC
rnacentral:rRNA from 1 species